rnacentral:rRNA from 1 species
CCUACGUGUGGCAGCAGUGAGGAAUAUUGGUCACUGGCCGGAAGGCUGAACCAGCCAAGCCGCGUGAAGUACGAAGGUGCCAAGCAUUGUAAACUUCUUUUGUCAAGGGACAAAAUCAGGCUCGAGAGCCUGACCGAGGGUACUUGAAGAAAAAGCAUCGGCUAACUCCGUGCCAGCAGCCGCGGUAAUACGGAGGAUGCGAGCGUUAUCCGGAUUUAUUGUGGUUAACGGGUGCGUAGGCGGACUGUUUAGUCAGCGGUAAAAGCCCGGGGCUCACACCCGGCGAGCCGUGGAAACUGGCUGUAGUGAGAUGUCGAGAGGUAUGCGGAAUGCGCAGUGUAGCGGUGAAAUGCUUAGAGAUUGCGCAGAACUCCGAGUGCGAAGGCAGCAUACCGGCGGCGAUAUGACGCUGAGGCACGAAAGCGUGGGUAUCGAACAGGAUUAGAUACCCUGGUAGUC